CAAUGGCCCAACAGUGCAUUUUUCCACUAUUAUUCUCAGUUGUCUGUCUUUUUGUUUUAUUUGCUUUUCUUUUCUUGCUUUUAUGAGAUAGAAUCUCAGGUUAAAUUUAUAGUCUUUUCAUACCACAAGUGUAUUUUCUAUAGUUAGCCAGUUUCCAAAACUAAGAUUUGAGUUUCCUGGAUACAGAUGGAAGAUAUAGACAUUGGUAGAGCUUAGGUAGUAGAAAUAACAGAAGUCAGAAAUCUGCCAAUUCUUGCCUUAGUAAGCAAAUGAAUUUAGGAAGGUACAAAUUCAUUUUCUGUAUAUUGAGGACCAUAAUAAAUUUUUCUUAGAAAUGCUGUGGAUAUAGAAAUGAGAUAGUAUAUCAAUUAGAAAGUACAUAAAAUCCUUUAUUUGGAGUUGGUGACAGAUAAAUGCUAAUUCUCUUUUUAACCCACUUUUCUUUUCCGUUUUCUUAAGGAUAUAAAAAUAUUGGUUUUAUGGUUCUUUUUCCAUCCAGCAAUUAGAGCAUAAGAUGUUUCUUUCAAAUUUUUUGUCAGUGUAUUCUUCCCUAUCUCCAAGGAGAAUAUAGAAAAUAUCCAAGCCUUCUUUUGAUGUGAAACGUGCCACUUAAGUCUUUUUAAUUAUUUCACAUUUCUUUCAUAUCUUGAAAUAUAUAUUUAUUUUAACAAGUUCUCUUUGGAGAAAAUACCUUAAAGAUAAGAAAUUAAUCCAGUAGUGGUGAUUUCAGGUAAUUGACUACUAUAAACUUACGGAAAAACUGGAUAUUACUAUGUCUUUUGCUGUUUUCUCAGACUGUCACAGCACUGGCAACUCAGGAGAGUACUCAGAAGGCCCUCUUUAAAGUGAGGAAUGAAGGAGAAAGUUAUCAACUAUUCCUUACUGAGGCCCUUCCUUUUCCGAGGAGAUAAGAAUUGAGGUUGCUGCAGAUGCGUAUGGAUUCACCACCGGUAACAAGACCAGCAUGACAGAAGCCCACAAUGGAUACAGAACAACUGAAGGAGGAUGUUAAUUUCAGAGAGUAUAACUAGAGUUCACACAACAUGAUUCAAAUUAGCCAACUAAAGAAAGAUUCUACAGGAAUAAACACUUAAACAAAUCAAAGAGCCUAAUGUGUCUGCUCAGGAAUUAAUUAUUAAAUGGUUACUAGGCAACAAGCAUAAAUACCUUUAAAGGAAAAUCUCAUUCAGUCCACUCCUAGCAGCACUAUGAGGUAACAAUUCUCAUUUAUAGGUGAGGAAAUUGAGACUUGAGGAACCUCUGUGACAUGUCCAAAAGCUCGUGGCUCUUAGAAGUUGACAGACUUUUAGAAUCGUUUUAAAAUUAAAUUGGUGGGAAUGUAAAACAGUGCAGCCAAUGUGGAAAACAUUAAAAAUAGAAUUGCCAUAUGAUCCAGCAAUUAUACUUUUAG
rnacentral:lncRNA from 1 species